ensembl:lncRNA
UUUUUUUUGUGAAAGAAGCAAAGAAUAAAUUCAAAUAUGAGUUGCUAAUAUGCUGCAGCAUAAAAAAGGUAGGAAGAGCUGUGUGGAGAGGCAUCAUGUCUCUGAGCAAGGAAGUGGUAGUUUAUUGUCUAAGAAUUACUGUCUUCUACUUUCUGGAAUAUAUAUUUCUGUAAUCUGGGCAGCAAAACUUCAUUUGCUGUUUUUCUUUUUAUUUUCUCUCAGCUUACAUGUUAACAAAAUAUCUCUUUUAUUUGAAAGUUUUCCAUUAGUCAGCAUUUAACAAGUAAAGUAAGGAUUGAUACACAGUCUUCAUAAUAAAUUCAAACAUACUGAAACAGUGUAUUUCUAUUUUUAAAAUACCAGCUGCUAAGAUAAGGAGAGGGAAUAUUUUCUGAUGUUCUGGAGAAAGUGAGGCUUAGGGAAGGAAAGUACUAUGCAAGUAAAAACAUGAAGCAACAUUUUGAAAGGUAUGCAUAAUUAAUCAUGGAAAUUCUACAGAAAGCUAUGUUUAAAUUCAGUGAGGGAACACAAAAUUAAGACUAAGUGAAGCUUUUUAAGUACACAUGAAUUAAAAAAGUUUGCAUGUGGUACAGAAAGGGAACUCUGCCUUUCUGUCUGGCACUGCGGGGGUUAUUUCCCUGAGUACUUUAAUUGAUGUCAUCCACUGUAUUAAAUGGGGCCUGGCCACUGGGUAGAGGGUGAAACUAUGAAUGAGGAAUAAAUCGUUGAUUUCUGCCUUGUCAAAUGCACUGAAUAUACUUGUGCUGCUUUUCUUUUAUCUUUGGAGGAAAUGUGUCAGUUCUCUUCUUGGGCAAUACUUUUUUCAGCCUCUUUAAGUACUGUUGUAAUGCAGGUUAAAACCAGUGCAUUUAUCCUUUGUCAAUGUAUAGUAUUAGUUCUCCUUCAUAUUUGCAUUUGUAUUUACGUCCAGAUGUUAUAUGGUCACAAAACAGGUGAUUUUUAUCAAUUAGGAAAAUAGAGGAGAGGGCUGUGUGUAAGUAUAUAUAGACUUGACAUUGUUCUCCAAGUAUAUAAGUUCCAGCCAGUGGCUCUUGUGUUACUGAUUUUAUAUUCUCAGUUAAAUAUAUCGAGUUCCUAAUGAAAUCACUGGGAAUGACUCAUUUGUAUAUACAAAGUGAAAUGGGACAUUUUGCUCUUAGGUGAAGUUUCAAAAUGUAACUCAGAACUUCAAGAAUAUCAGUUAAAAAAAGAAAAAUACCUUCAAGUAAUGUAGCUUUUGAUUCUCGGUUGUAUUGUUAGAAAUCUCUUGGUCCAUUUAUGCACUACCUACAAUUGACAGAAUUGUCCACUUUAUGAUUAAAACAGUUUUUAAACUAUCUGCUUAACUGUAUCCAAGAGCAGAUGUAUACAACUCAGUGGUAAGGCAUGGCAGACUCGUGUCAUCUUUUCAUCUAAAACAUCUUUUAGGCCUUUAACCCUUUGAUAAAUUGACUGACAAAUUCUUUUGAUGGAGUGAACUCUUUUAACAACACAUAACAAUAUUAUUUUAAACAGAAUCUGCCCAUACAAGGUAUUCCUCCUCAUUUCAAAGUGGAAAAUAUUGUUUUGGUGUUUAGCUGUACAUCUGACGGGGAAAAGACGUAUGUCCUGCCCUGAUCCAUUCAAUAGUGUGCAAAGCUCUUUGUUUCCUGCUUCCUCCCCAGAGUUUCUGUAGCGUGGGUUUUUUGUUUAUUAAAGCCUAGGAGGGCAAUGAAAUAAUAUACACAAUAAUUGAAUAGUGUCUGUUUUUCAUGUAAGAGGUUUCCAUCAAAACUUAAUUUUAAACGUAAAAUUUGGCAAUGCAUCCCACUGAGCAAUGUUUGGAAUGCAUGCUACAGCAGAGCAAACAGUAUCACCCAUACUCUUAUGCAACACAAAAUUCCUGCUGGGAGCUCCUUGGCAUGGUAACUGGUGUCUGGGGCACAACACAUUACUACUUUUCUUCUUGGGCUAAGCCCAGCUACUCCAAGCUGCAAGAAGGAAUAAAGACAUUUACUAAUUACUGAUCUGCUCAAUAAAGAAACAGGAAGCAAACAAACUGCAUUUGAAAGUUCAGUGACAGACUAAAGUUCUGACACCCUCAUGGCAGGGGAAGAAAUCAACUGUAAUCUAGUCCCUGGCUGCAAGUCAGUCAUCCUCUUUUCUGUUUAAUUCAACUUUAGUAUAGAACAAUUGAAUAAUCCAAGAUAAAUGCAAGCACUAAGGAGGCUGACUCCACGUCCUGCUAUCUUUAUGUUUACAUAAAGUUGUUUUGUAUGUAUGAUGCAUUGAUUUCUUUCUUCUUUAUUCCUGCAUUUGAACAAUGUCCAGUAACUUUUGGGUCUGGAGACAACCUGUAAAUUCUUAAGCAGCUUUUUGAGUUUGAAACACAUUUCUCAAAAUCUGAAGUCUACAUAUCUGUCUUUGUUAAGGAAGUCUGAUGUAGCUCUUGUUAUCUGUGGCUCUUUUCCAACAGACCAAAAUAUUUCAACAUCAGUAUUAAAAUGAAAAACUAAAUAUAUGUUAAGCAUAGUUAAAUUUCAUUUCAUCACAUGUAAGAUUUGCUGGUGAUUUCAACUCAUGUCCCAUAUCCAGGUGGCGCUUUAACUGUACACCAUGGCUCAGUACUCUGGUUAGGCACACUCAGAGCUGAUCUGCUGAAAUGGCCUCUGGUACUUAAGGAUCUUGGCUUGACUUAUCAGUUUGAACUAGGGAUCAAAGCGAACUAUUUGGCAGUAUCAUUUCACAGGCAACUUUACAGACACCCCUGUGCAAGUAGUUGAAGCUUAGCUCUCAGAAUUAGGCAGCAGCUGAGCGAUGCUUUUGGAAAGAGGUGUCAGUGAUAAAGUUGGGUUCCUUGCCUCAUUAAGCACUUCAGUGUCUUCUGGGGACAUGUUCUGUCUCCCAGAGUGAUCACGUUUUAUGACAGCAUUUACUCCAUUACUGCAUGGUACAUUUCAUCACUGUGCAACAGCAGACAUAUCCUUCAUUAUUCAAAUACUUGACACAAAACUUGUUGACUGCUCUGAAAUAUUUUUUCUUGCCCUUCAGGCUGUCUUAUUUCUCUGUUCAAGGCUGUACAAGUACUACACUGUUAUUGCCAGACCCGUUUUCUACAAAUACAUGGGAAGGCACUAAUUGUGUCAGCAGCUUGGCUUUCUGGAACUCUCAGCCUCAGCUGCUGUGCUGGUAACUAAGUGUAAUCCAGCUGGCCAGCCAGCUUGCUGAGCUCCUGCAAGCUGAACUGCAGAUUGUACCCUCAACCUUUUACUGGCUGGCUUAAUACAACAUUGCAGGGGAGAUGGACUGUAAUGCAAUUAUCUUACAAGAAAAACUGAAGACCUAAACAUGUCUGCCUCUGCAGGGCAGUGAAAUGGAAAAUAAAGUGUCAGAUGUAUUACAUCAUGAUUGUACUUUAAAUUGCUGUUGUCAGCAAAAUAGUGAUUCCAGCCAGAUACUCAUUGCCAUGCAACAGAACACUGCUGGAGUUCUAAGUAAAAAGAAUUUUCACAUAUAGUGUAAUGGCUUCCCUCUCUUUUAUUCUAAACUUGUAUCAGUUAAUUUACUGGAAAUUUCUUGAUACUGAACAGUGUGAUGUGCCCAGAAAGCAUGCCUUCAAAAAGCUUCCUGGAAUAAAUGAGCUGACCUCUGCAGUGGGUGCUUUGGAUAGCAUAAACUAAAACUAUGAUGCCUCAGAUGUAAGUUAAAAAACUUCCAUGAGACAGUAUUAAUUAAAAAUGAACAUGUCCAUUUUAAUACUGAUUCAACUACAUACUUUUUUUCUACACUGUGUACAAAUCAAUAUGCAAGUUCUAUUUCUAGCUUAAACUCUCUUAUUUGUUUAUGCAGUGAUGACAACCCUGACUCCCUUUCACUGGUAUCUGAAUUUUUGGCCCUGACUAUUUAUGAGCUGAUAAAAGUUUCCAGCCUCUUUUUCUUGGAUGUAAUGAGCUGGACCACAUCUCAAAAAUCCAUGAAGUGAUAGGCACUCCUGGUAACAAAACUCCAAAAUUUCAAGCAGUGGAUCUUACUCAGUUUGGCACAUACAAUACUUCAAGGAUAUUGAUUUCCUAACAAGUUCUUUGCUGUUAAACCUCUGGAGACAACUUACACUUCUCUGGCUGUUGGAUGAAUAGGCAAACUUGUGUUUCCCAUCUGCUUUAUAGUUAAAAUACACCCAAACUUUAAACUACAAACUGGCAAGGAUGGUCCCACCCUCAUUCUUCCAGCUAAAAUUCCAUACUGAGAUUAUCUGUGUUCCGCUUACUUUUAAUUAUUUUUUUUAAUGUAGUAGGAAAAAUAUUUUAUUAAAAGUUGCAUCUACAGUAGAGUUCGUAAGUUCCUUCCAGGUAAGUUAUUAGUACCCUGUUUCUUACUAAAAUAAUUUUUUUUCCAUAUAGAACAGAGUGUGGUAUGGACAAUUUAAGCUUCUAGGUGAUUGCCCUAAUAGUAAAGAAGAGGCUGAAAAAAGAAAACCCACACACAUUCCUUGUGUGCUGCUGGACUACAAUUUGUGGCAGGGACAUACCCUGCCAACAUGGAUGUGAGUAGCUGCUGUUGUUCCCCUGAUGCUGGAUAUUGCAAUUCUUCCCCUACUGGUUUGUAUUUUUCCAGCUGAAGGAAAAAAAAGUCUUUUAAAAAGUUACUGCAUAUUUUUUCAGCUAUGUUAUUUUGACUCAGACCAUAUGAAGCACUUAUAUAGAAGUCGUCUACGGGGAGAUAACUACAUGAGUUUUCAGUGAUGAGGUUUAUCUGUAUUUUAACAGUUAAACCCACUAUGUUAAUAAAACAAAACUUCUGAAAAAU